rnacentral:rRNA from 1 species
CGACCGGCGCACGGGUGCGUAACGCGUAUGCAACCUACCCAUAACAGGGGGAUAACACUGAGAAAUUGGUACUAAUACCCCAUAACAUCAGGACCGGCAUCGGUUCUGGUUGAAAACUCCGGUGGUUAUGGAUGGGCAUGCGUUGUAUUAGCUGGUUGGUGAGGUAACGGCUCACCAAGGCAGCGAUACAUAGGGGGACUGAGAGGUUAACCCCCCACAUUGGUACUGAGACACGGACCAA